rnacentral:rRNA from 1 species
ACCUCUUUAGAGUUUGAUCCUGGCUCAGAUUGAACGCUGGCGGCAGGCCUAACACAUGCAAGUCGAGCGGUAACAUUUCUAGCUUGCUAGAAGAUGACGAGCGGCGGACGGGUGAGUAAUGCUUGGGAACAUGCCUUGAGGUGGGGGACAACCAUUGGAAACGAUGGCUAAUACCGCAUAAUGUCUACGGACCAAAGGGGGCUUCGGCUCUCGCCUUUAGAUUGGCCCAAGUGGGAUUAGCUAGUUGGUAAGGUAACGGCUCACCAAGGCGACGAUCCCUAGCUGGUUUGAGAGGAUGAUCAGCCACACUGGAACUGAGACACGGUCCAGACUCCUACGGGAGGCAGCAGUGGGGAAUAUUGCACAAUGGGCGCAAGCCUGAUGCAGCCAUGCCGCGUGUGUGAAGAAGGCCUUCGGGUUGUAAAGCACUUUCAGUCAGGAGGAAAGGUUAGUAGUUAAUACCCUGCUAAGCUGUGACGUAC